ACCUUGUGACUUUAAUGUAGCUCAGUCAGUAAGAGCAUGAGAUUCUUAAUCUCAGGGUUGUGGGUUCGAGACCCACGUUGGGCA